AGACAUCUAAGGAUGGAACAAAGGCUUGCCGCUAUAGGAUGGGGAUGCGUCUGAUUAGGUAGUCGGCGGGGUAACGGCCCACCGAGCCAUCGAUCAGUAGGGGUUCUGAGAGGAAGGUCCCCCACAUUGGAACUGAGACACGGUCCAAACUCAUACGGGAGGCAGCAGUGAGGAAUAUUGGUCAAUGGGCGAGAGCCUGAACCAGCCAAGUAGCGUGCAGGACGACGGCCCUAUGGGUUGUAAACUGCUUUUAUGCGGGGAUAAAGUUCACUACGUGUAGUGUUUUGUAGGUACCGCAUGAAUAAGGACCGGCUAAUUCCGUGCCAGCAGCCGCGGUAAUACGGAAGGUCCGGGCGUUAUCCGGAUUUAUUGGGUUUAAAGGGAGCGCAGGCCGGAGGUCAAGCGUGACGUGAAAUGUAGCCGCUCAACGGCUGAACUGCGUCGCGAACUGGCUUUCUUGAGUGAGUUCGAUGUGGGCGGAAUUCGUGGUGUAGCGGUGAAAUGCUUAGAUAUCACGAAGAACUCCGAUUGCGAAGGCAGCCCACAAGGCCUUUACUGACGCUAAAGCUCGAAGGUGCGGGUAUCGAACAGGAUUAGAUACCCUGGUAGUCCGCACGGUAAACGAUGGAUGCCCGCUGUUUGCGAUAUACUGUGAGCGGCCAAGAGAAAUCGUUAAGCAUCCCACCUGGGGAGUACGCCGGCAACGGUGAAACUCAAAGGAAUUGACGGGGGCCCGCGCAAGCGGAGGAACAUGUGGUUUAAUUCGAUGAUACGCGAGGAACCUUACCUGGGCUUGAACUGCAGCGGAAGGAUACAGAGAUGUUGACGCCCUUCGGGGCCGCUGUGGAGGUGCUGCAUGGUUGUCGUCAGCUCGUGCCGUGAGGUGUCGGCUUAAGUGCCAUAACGAGCGCAACCCUUUUCAUUAGUUGCCAUCAGGUCAUGCUGGGCACUCUGGUGAUACUGCCACCGUAAGGUGUGAGGAAGGUGGGGAUGACGUCAAAUCAGCACGGCCCUUACGUCCGGGGCUACACACGUGUUACAAUGGGUGGUACAGAGAGUCGGUCGUCUGCAAAUGCGAUCCAAUCCUUAAAGCCAUCCUCAGUUCGGAUUGGGGUCUGCAACCCGACCCCAUGAAGCUGGAUUCGCUAGUAAUCGCGCAUCAGCCAUGGCGCGGUGAAUACGUUCCCGGGCCUUGCACACACCGCCCGUCAAG
rnacentral:rRNA from 1 species